rnacentral:lncRNA from 1 species
GGUAAUUAUUAACAGCAAUAAUCCCCAUAUGACAACAGUUUCAGUCCCCCACAGGAAGGUAUUUCAUUCUCUUCCUCCCCAUGUCCAUUCAGUCGCUGCAAGAGUGAGGUAGCUAUAUCAACAUCAUGGAGAAAGAGCAUAUUUUGUAGUAUGAGCCAUAUGAAUUGACCUGUAGAUGUCACAUUGUCCUCUCACUCAGUCGGGCGACAGAGAGGGGAUGUAAGCUACAGUUUAAUAGAGCGGUCGGAGAGAUUAGUUCAAGGGACAUGUGGGUCAUUGAGAACGGGCGAGGGCCAGAGCCUUGCUGGGGGAACAGACUGGACAGAGAACAGCAGCACCAGAAUAACCAUCCUACCAGGCUCCUGGCCCGGCCCAGACAUCCAGUCAACACCAUCACCUGGCAACAUGGCUCCUGCUCAGCACUCCACCAGGACAGGGCACCUUGUUAUCUGUCCUUUGUCAGUAAGGCCAUCUUGUGGGAUCGAGGACUCUACCACUACACAGACCACACUGUCCGUGAUGGACGUCCUUCUCUGUGUCCUCGUUUCCUGGUUCACAUGAAGGCCUGUCCUGCAGACCUCAGAACCCCACAUCUCCUAUCCAAUAACCCCAGGCCACGUCCUCCUCGCCAGGAAUUGACACAACAAAGACACGCCCUUGGCGGCCUGAAGACGCAUUCAUGUGCAGACUCCAGGAGCCUGCAGCACUGCAGCACCACCAGAGGGAGGCGCUUAGCUGUUGUUGUUCCCUGUGUACCAGUGCCAGUCUCCCCCUCUCCCAGCAGAGCCUCCCCUGAGCUCUCAGUCUGUCCAAGUCCAACAUCCUCUACUGUCACUGACUCUGGGCAGCAGGGGACUGGAUACAACCCUGCUCCAUCAUCAGCCCUACCUCAUGGCCAUACUCAGAAAGGAGAGAAGGAAACAGAGGAUGGUGUUAAAGAGAUGGAUGAAGGCACUUCGGCUUCCUCAGGGGCCUUCCGCCCUCCAAGGCCAGACCAGGAGCCCAAUUCUGGUCCUGAGGACAUAGACCCCUCAGUUUCUCCAAUCCCUAGUGUCUGUGAGGGUUCUCUCUCAGACUUUAGCCGCCCACCAUCCAGCCAGUUCAGCCGAAGCACAGACCUGGGUAGUGGCCGGAGCAGUCCUCUAUGUGCGAAUCUGAGUGACCUGGACUCAGAGGGUGGCUCUCCUCUCUCCCAGCAUGGCUCCUCUUCCAUGUCCCUGUCUGCUCUGGCCUCCUGCACCCCACAGGACCCCCCAGCACACCAGCCCCCAAACCCAGCCCCUCACCACCCUCAAUACCAUCCCCUCCCUCACCAGGCCCAACACUGCCCACCUGACUGGACCACCACGGAGCCCCAGCCAGGCCAUGUCCUCCCACCCUACCCAGACCCAUCCCUGGACCCCAACCUAGACCCUACAACCCUAGCUUUCCCCUCAGACACCUGGCAGUCCUGCCCCAGCCCACAGUGCAAGAUAACUACCCGACCAGGGUCAGGGUUAGGGUCAGGUUUGACCUCAUCCCCUGUGGUGGUGGAGAGGCAGGACUGGACAUCACACCGCUGGUCCGUCCUUCCCCCCAUCUCUCCAGUCAGAGGUGGCAGUGACACAGUGUCCUCCUGGUCCCGCUGUUCUCAGGUCAGCUCUAGCCAGUCCCAUGUGUUUGAUGAACUGGAGGCCAUCGCCCCGCGGACCGGCUCCUGUCUGUCCCUAGACCAGCCACUCAGCCCAGCAGACUGCAGCCCACCUGGUACAGAGAUGUCCCCAGGCCUGGCUGCUCUGACAGUGGGCUGUGACUCAGGGGACCUGGGCUCCCUGUCCCGUGUGCAGCUCCUGCUCCUGGACCGGUCGGACCCUGUGGAGCCCCACUGGCUCGCUGGUCAGGACAUGUACUCCCCAACAGAAGACGGAACAACAGGCCACACAGCGGCGCUCCGAGCCAGAAGACCUCUGAGUCCAACGCUGUAUACUACAGGCGUCCUGCAGCCCCUCACAGCUGGCAGCUGUGGAGACGGCAGUGUGUCUGAGAGGUGUGUCGCCACAGGCAAAGUCCAGGGACAGGGUGAGCACACAAUGCAGUCCCACAACGAGGAUGGUUCCAGGUCACCAUCGUCAUGGAUCAGUGAUUCCAGUCCAUCAGGCACCAUAUCCGGGUCCACCAGUUCCCAAUGCGAGUCCUGCUGUGAUGGGGAGGAGUCCGAGGGAAGUGACCAAACCAGCCAGGCCCUUACCUCCUUAAAUGACAGGGGCCCCAGCCCAGACCAGGGGGUUCCAGUGAAGGAGGAGCCUGGUUGCCCUGAUUGGGGGGAGCGAGGCUGGGCUUCCACAGGGGCCAGGAGAAGGCCAGGGAGGCUGGAGCGCAGGAUUAGGGAGAAGGAGCGAAAAAGGGAGGAGAGAAAGACAAAGGUGCUAAACAUCUACUCCAGACUCCAGGACAGCGGGCCCCUCCAGCCCAGCCGCAACAGGGGCCGCUCCAGGUUUGAGGACUUCGACUUCUUGGCAAAGUAUUGCAUUUUCAGCCAGGAGAAGCUGGCAGAAUACAAAAGGGCUUUUGAAGCGGUUGACAGUGAUGCUGAUGGUUACAUUUCCUGCCUGCAAGUGCUGCUGGCACUAAAGAAGAUCAUCCCUCCAGAGCUGCUAACUGAUGAAGAAGAGAUAUAUGUCUACAGGAUCCUGGAGAUGGUGGAUUUCAGGGUGACAGAUGGACUUACAGACCUGAGGCUCUUUGCUGUGAUUGCGAGCCUGGCGCAGAAAAUAGCUACCAUGGAUGUAUUUAUGCGUUCCCUGAUAAGCAAAAUGGACUUCCAUUCUUUGGCAUUAAAGCUAUACAAAGCAAAGCAGCUGUUCAUGUUCCUGCUGGAGGGGCAGUCAGGGGGCGCUGUGGCCCAGCAGGGCUGUAUCAGCGCAGAGCAGCUCCUAGUGGAGCUCAAGGCCGGGGGCAUCCGACCAGAACAAGAGGAAGCCAUCAAACAGGAGCUCCGACACAUCAGCUCCCUGGACCUGCUGGACUUCCUGGCGUACCUGCCCCUCUUCGUCCUAAUCCACAACUCAGUCAUCGCCAACCCACUGGAUGACUCCAGCAACCUGUGAUGUCAUCGGCUACACAGGCUUGACCCUAUCUGUCAUUAGCUACCACACACUGUGGCAACAGGGUUCCAGGGUUCUCUUUCUAAAACGAUAGCCAAUGCACCCAAAGCUGUUUUUGAGAUGUGGUUUUUUCGGGGGGUGGAGGGCACAUUUCAUGUAACAAGGUCGACAUUCUGAGAAAUUUCUUCAAAGGGGCUUUGGAGACACCCUUUGGAAUAUGCAUUGAUAAAUAGCCUACUGAAGGUGGAUGUCUAAGCUUGAGAAUGGUGCUGUCUAUGGUACUGAAAUAUGCAGGGAUUUUCAGUUGCGGUUCAUGCAUCGGUAAUACACUGAAUAGGGACAUAACACGUUUAGACUCCAGUUAGACAAGGGAUACACAAUUGUUGCUCAUGGGGGACCAAAUCCUAAAAUGCAAGAUGCAGGUGCAACUUCAAACUUUUGCACAAAUUAAGCAUUGAUUUAAUGCAUGAUUUAUGCCAAACCUUUGUGCGGGUUUUUAAGAUAGGGGGGGUGAAUAUAAUGGCUCUCCACCGCUUUAGUAACUGAGUAAUGUGGCAUUAUGAAAAUAAAAUAAAUGAAGCAUGACCUAACCUAAAUCUCCUAUGUGUUUUCAAUCAUCUCCCUCAGCUUUAAGUGAGAGGGUCCGGCAAGAAAUUACAAAUUAGAUAUGGCAGUUCUUUAUUUAAUUUCCCUCAGGCUUGACAGAGUCGGGGAGGAAAGCGUUAAUGCACUCUGACAGGCGGUCAUGGAAUUGUUCAGACCAUUCAUUGCUGUUUUCGGGUAGCUGUGUCAUAGAAAUUCUAUAAUGCCUAAUAAGGGUCCUAAAGAUAGCUAUACAUACUGCCUGUUGUUUUUGUGUCUUGUGCCCUUCUUGGUAAGCUCUAGUUUUAUUUCAUCUUUAUUGUAACCCUUUCCUGCAGUCAAAUGAUCAGACCGCCCUCUAGUGCAAUCAUGGGUGGAAUGUUAUUCUUUUUUCAGAAUGAAUCAAAACAAUAUUUUUUUUACAACGAAAACUCUGUGUUUCUAUGUCAAAUGGUUUCGUGUUUCAGUCUUCUGUGAUGUAGAUAAACUAUAAUGUUUGGAUGCAAACUCAAAAUGUAAUACAUUUUCAGUUGCCUAAUUAUAAUUUAAGGCCAUAACCGUGUGUGAGGUGUAUACUUUUGUUUCAAAGUACAGUAGAUUUGUUUGACUACCAAGAAAGACUGUGACCCUGACGUAGCCCACUGUAGUAAAAGGCUAACAGGGAGUUCCAUUGAGGGCAAGGUCUAUUUACCAAGCGAGCCCAGCAUAUACAUCAUUGACUAAAUACAAUAUAAUACAAAUUGGCCUGUACAAAAUUACAAACACACUCAAGAAAUGAUACAGUGACUCGUAUGUCUAAAGGUUAUUAAUGAUGUCCGUGAGGCAGUGAUGUGUACUGAACCUGUCACCAGUAAUAAAAUGAGGUGCUGUGUUAAACUGCAUUUAAAGGUGUUUAUGAAGUGGCUGCUGCAUUCAUAUAGAUGAUGUCACCAUAGUCUAGGAACUGUAGGAACUGUAGGAACUGUAGGAAUGUCAAUAAAAUGAUCUGCGUGCUACUAUUAAGCGAGAGGCAGGACUUGUUUCUACAGAAGAAGCCCAUUUUAUUCUCAGCUUCCUCACUAAAUCAUCUAUAUGCUUUUUAAAAGACAGCCCAUCGUCUAUCCAGAUGCCCAGAUAUUUGCAUGCAGGGACACAAUCGAUGUUCACACAAUCUAAAGUACAUGUGCUCUAGAAAACAUAUACUUUCAUACUAGUUUGAGGUCAAUAAAGGUUUUCUGUAAAUCAAUGAAGGCAGAUUGAUGAUCAGAUAGAGCCUUGUCAACAGAGAGGGGCAGCAGAAUACACAGCAGUAUGCCCACAAGUGAAGGUUACACAUUUGUACAGACAAACCAAUAUUGUUUAUAUACUGUAGUUAGUCAAAUGUACAGGACCCAAAAUCGAACACUGUGGGACACCUUUCGUAAUAUCAAGGAAACCUGACUUAAGGUUUCAGAAAGGUUUCAGAAAAUACACAUUGUGUCCUGUCUAUAAAGAACUUGGUCUCAGCAAUAGAUUUAAAAUCAGUAUUUGUCCACCUAGAGAGUUAGAUAAUGGUGGAUUAUACACAAUGCCCAGGCUUUAUGUGGUACUAUGCUCCACUCAAAUAAAAUGUAGGCCUUGUAGCCAAGCUUUCGAAUAUAUUCUUAUGUGGCUACAUUUUUACCUGAUAAAUCAUUAAUGAAACAUCAGCUAUGCUGUUUAUCUUGGUGUCAAGGAAUUGUAUAUUGUAUUGUGGUAAGAGCAAUAACUGCUGAGCAAUAACCCUUUCAGCUAGAGAUAGUGGUGAAUAAUACCUGGCACUCUUAGACGAUAUUCCCUCUGGCAGCUUGCACGCAACAAAUGGUUAAACUGUUUUUUUCUUCGCAAGGGCAUUUGUUGAGUGCUAGUCGCGCGCUGCUGUAUGAAAGGCACACGCCGUCAGCCAAUUCAAUGCGCGGUCUCCUCUCCACCACUAGACAACCGCAUUCACUCAUUAAACCAGGCACGCGCCUCGAAGCAAACGCGUCCUACCUGUCAAACUCGAUGCUUCUUUGCCUCGGGGAAUAGAAAG